UAGUAGUAGUAGUAGUAGUAGUAGUAGUAGCGAGUAGUAGUGAUGUGGUAGUGUAGUAGCAGCAAUAGUAACAGUGUAGUAGGAGUGGUAGAAGAAUAGUUGUGGUUGCUGUCGUUACGUGUUGCGUCUUACGUUAGAAACUUUUUUUGCGAUGACACGAAUUAGAAGAACCGAAGAUAAUAAUGG